rnacentral:rRNA from 1 species
GUCGAGGGGUAUUGGUUUUCGGACCAGAGACCGGCGCACGGGUGCGUAACGCGUAUGCAAUCUACCUUUCACAGAGGGAUAGCCCAGAGAAAUUUGGAUUAAUACCUCAUAGUAUGCAGAGUUGGCAUCAACUCUGCAUUAAAGUCACAACGGUGAAAGAUGAGCAUGCGUCCCAUUAGCUAGUUGGUAAGGUAACGGCUUACCAAGGCAACGAUGGGUAGGGGUCCUGAGAGGGAGAUCCCCCACACUGGUACUGAGACACGGACCAGACUCCUACGGGAGGCAGCAGUGAGGAAUAUUGGACAAUGGGCGCAAGCCUGAUCCAGCCAUGCCGCGUGCAGGAUGACGGUCCUAUGGAUUGUAAACUGCUUUUGUACGAGAAGAAACACUCCUUCGUGAAGGAGCUUGACGGUAUCGUAAGAAUAAGGAUCGGCUAACUCCGUGCCAGCAGCCGCGGUAAUACGGAGGAUCCAAGCGUUAUCCGGAAUCAUUGGGUUUAAAGGGUCCGUAGGCGGUUUAGUAAGUCAGUGGUGAAAGCCCAUCGCUCAACGGUGGAACGGCCAUUGAUACUGCUAGACUUGAAUUAUUAGGAAGUAACUAGAAUAUGUAGUGUAGCGGUGAAAUGCUUAGAGAUUACAUGGAAUACCCAUUGCGAAGGCAGGUUACUACUAAUGGAUUGACGCUGAUGGACGAAAGCGUGGGUAGCGAACAGGAUUAGAUACUCUGGUAGUCCACGCCGUAAACGAUGGAUACUAGCUGUUGGGAGCGAUCUCAGUGGCUAAGCGAAAGUGAUAAGUAUCCCACCCUGGGAGUACGUUCGCAAGAAUGAAACUCAAAGGAAUUGACGGGGGCCCGCACAAGCGGUGGAGCAUGUGGUUUAAUUCGAUGAUACGCGAGGAACCUUACCAA